rnacentral:lncRNA from 1 species
CGCCAGAGGGCUGCCCCUCGGCCGGUGACCGAGUUAAGCACCGAGCUGUAAAUCGCUUGAGACCUGUAUUUAGUUGUUUUGUUGGUUUUGCCAAGUAAGGUCACUUGAGGAUUUCUUGGCUCGAGGUCCCAGGUUGCGCAGACUCUGACUGCAUCGAGUUGAGAAUUUUGGUCAGAAUGUUAAAGUGGACACCUACCCCAGGCUGUCAUGGUCAGUGUUUUAGAGAACUUCCUGGGUUGGGGUGUGGAGCUGGGCGGUCCAGGAUGUUCUGUCAUCAGAGACUGGCGGCUUCUGGGGAACUUGGUGCCGUGGAACACAGUAGGGACGUUCUGCUUCUCAUCAAGAACAUGAAGACAUUAAGAGGUGGAAUUGUAAUGGAGAAAAAGACUUUUGCAUUCUGGUAACCAACUGAUCCUACCCGGACCCAUGAUGCAUAACUCAGCUGGUCCUGUGGCGCACACCCAGAGGCCGACUCAAUGCAUGAAGACUGUUUUCCACACCCCUAUGAUUUCAUCCCCAACCAAGCAGCAGCAUCCAUUCCCUAGCCCCCUGCCCACCAAAUUAUCCAUAAAAACUCUGGCUUCUGAGUUCUCAGCAAAACUGAUUUUAGUAAUAACUCCAGUUCUUCCACUUGGCUGGCCUUAGUUAAUUAAACUUAUUCUUUACUAUAGUACCGUGUUCCCAGUGAAUUGGUUUUGUCUGUGUAGCAGGCAGGACAACCCAUCAGGCAAUCACACAGUUACUCUGCAGUGCUUCUUUUUAUUUUGCUUUUCAAACAAAUUUCAAAUAUUAUUAGAUUGAAAUAAACUAUACAAAUAGCUUUUCC